AGAUGGCGACCGGCGCACGGGUGAGUAACACGUAUCCAACCUGCCGAUAACUCGGGGAUAGCCUUUCGAAAGAAAGAUUAAUACCCGAUGGUAUAAUCAGACCGCAUGGUUUGAUUAUUAAAGAAUUUCGGUUAUCGAUGGGGAUGCGUUCCAUUAGGCAGUUGGUGAGGUAACGGCUCACCAAACCUUCGAUGGAUAGGGGUUCUGAGAGGAAGGUCCCCCACAUUAGAACUGAGACACGGUCCAA
rnacentral:rRNA from 1 species